CCAGACGGCUGGACGGCCGCUGUUCGCAGCUCUUCGCGAGAUCGGUUGCGGAUGGAGGAAAGUCCGGGCUCCACGGGAACGCGGUGCCGGGUAACGCCCGGCGGGGGCGACCCCAGGGACAGUGCCACAGAAAGCAUACCGCCGGCCCCGGGCGCGCGAGCGUCCGGCCGGUAAGGGUGAAACGGUGCGGUAAGAGCGCACCGCGCGCUCGGCAACGAGGGCGGCACGGCAAACCCCACCGGGAGCAAGACCAAAUAGGGGCGACACGCCGGGCCUAGGCCCGGCACGCGGGUUCCCGCGCCGUCGCCCGGGUCGGUCGCGCGAGGCGCCCGGUAACGGGCGUCCCAGAGGAAUGGUCGUCCCCGCCCUUAAAGGCGGGACAGAACCCGGCUUACAGGCCGUCUGGCAAA
rnacentral:RNase_P_RNA from 1 species